rnacentral:rRNA from 1 species
AUUGAACGCUGGCGGCAGGCCUAACACAUGCAAGUCGGACGGUAGCACAGAGGAGCUUGCUCCUCGGGUGACGAGUGGCGGACGGGUGAGUAAUGUCUGGGGAUCUGCCCGAUAGAGGGGGAUAACCACUGGAAACGGUGGCUAAUACCGCAUAACGUCGCAAGACCAAAGAGGGGGACCUUCGGGCCUCUCACUAUCGGAUGAACCCAGAUGGGAUUAGCUAGUAGGCGGGGUAAUGGCCCACCUAGGCGACGAUCCCUAGCUGGUCUGAGAGGAUGAACAGCCAAACGGGAACUGGGACACGGGCCAGACUCCUAGGGGAGGCAGCAGUGGGGAAUAUUGCAGAAGGGGCGCAAGCCUGAUGCAGCCAUGCCGCGUGUAUGAAGAAGGCCUUCGGGUUGUAAAGUACUUUCAGCGGGGAGGAAGGCGGUGAGGUUAAUAACCUUGCCGAUUGACGUUACCCGCAGAAGAAGCACCGGCUAACUCCGUGCCAGCAGCCGCGGUAA